CUUGUUGGGGUUGUAGGACUCCAAUAUGGUAGUCUGUUAGUAUAGUUGAAGGAUUUGGAAAAUUCCGCUAAAGAGGGUGAAAGCCCCGUAGACGAAAUGCUAAUAACACCUAGGAGGAUCCUGAGUACGGCGGAACACGAGAAAUUCCGUCGGAAUCCGCGGGGACCAUCCCGCAAGGCUAAAUACUCCCUAGUGACCGAUAGUGAACCAGUACCGUGAGGGAAAGGUGAAAAGCACCCCGGAAGGGGAGUGAAAUAGAUCCUGAAACCGUGUGCCUACAACAAGUCAAAGCUCGUUAAUGAGUGAUGGCGUGCCUUUUGUAGAAUGAACCGGCGAGUUACGAUUGCAUGCGAGGUUAAGUCGAAGAGACGGAGCCGCAGCGAAAGCGAGUCUGAAUAGGGCGAAUGAGUAUGUAGUCGUAGACCCGAAACCAUGUGAUCUACCCAUGUCCAGGUUGAAGGUGCGGUAAAACGCACUGGAGGACCGAACCCACGUACGUUGAAAAGUGCGGGGAUGAGGUGUGGGUAGCGGAGAAAUUCCAAACGAACUUGGAGAUAGCUGGUUCUCUCCGAAAUAGCUUUAGGGCUAGCCUCGGAAUUGAGAAUGAUGGAGGUAGAGCACUGUUUGGACUAGGGGCCCAUCUCGGGUUACCGAAUUCAGAUAAACUCCGAAUGCCAUUCAUUUAUAUCCGGGAGUCAGACUGCGAGUGAUAAGAUCCGUAGUCGAAAGGGAAACAGCCCAGACCACCAGCUAAGGUCCCAAAAUAUAUGUUAAGUGGAAAAGGAUGUGGGGUUGCACAGACAACUAGGAUGUUGGCUUAGAAGCAGCCACCAUUUAAAGAGUGCGUAAUAGCUCACUAGUCGAGUGACCCUGCGCCGAAAAUGUACCGGGGCUAAACAUAUUACCGAAGCUGUGGACUACACCAUUAGGUGUAGUGGUAGGAGAGCGUUCUAAGGGCGUUGAAGGUCGAUCGUGAGGACGGCUGGAGCGCUUAGAAGUGAGAAUGCCGGUAUGAGUAGCGAAAGACAGGUGAGAAUCCUGUCCACCGUAUGACUAAGGUUUCCUGGGGAAGGCUCGUCCGCCCAGGGUUAGUCGGGACCUAAGCCGAGGCCGAUAGGCGUAGGCGAUGGACAACAGGUUGAUAUUCCUGUACCAGUUGUUUUUGUUUGAACAAUGGAGGGACGCAGUAGGCUAAGGAAUGCAUGCGAUUGGAAGUGCAUGUCCAAGCAAUGAGUCUUGAGUAGAGUUAAAUGCUUUACUCUCUAAGGACAAGUUGUGACGGGGAGCGAAAUAAUAGUAGCGAAGUUCCUGAUGUCACACUGCCAAGAAAAGCUUCUAGUGAGAAAACAACUGCCCGUACCGUAAACCGACACAGGUAGUCGAGGAGAGUAUCCUAAGGUGAGCGAGCGAACUCUCGUUAAGGAACUCGGCAAAAUGACCCCGUAACUUCGGGAGAAGGGGUGCUGACUUCGGUCAGCCGCAGUGAAUAGGCCCAAGCGACUGUUUAUCAAAAACACAGGUCUCUGCAAAAUCGUAAGAUGAAGUAUAGGGGCUGACGCCUGCCCGGUGCUGGAAGGUUAAGAGGAUGGGUUAGCUUCGGCGAAGCUCAGAAUUGAAGCCCCAGUAAACGGCGGCCGUAACUAUAACGGUCCUAAGGUAGCGAAAUUCCUUGUCGGGUAAGUUCCGACCCGCACGAAAGGCGUAACGAUUUGGGCACUGUCUCAACGAGAGACUCGGUGAAAUUUUAGUACCUGUGAAGAUGCAGGUUACCCGCGACAGGACGGAAAGACCCCGUGGAGCUUUACUGUAGUUUGAUAUUGAGUGUUUGUACCACAUGUACAGGAUAGGUAGGAGCCGAUGAGACCGGAACGCUAGUUUCGGAGGAGGCGCUGGUGGGAUACUACCCUUGUGUUAUGAACCCUCUAACCCGCACCACUAAUCGUGGUGGGAGACAGUGUCAGAUGGGCAGUUUGACUGGGGCGGUCGCCUCCUAAAAGGUAACGGAGGCGCCCAAAGGUUCCCUCAGAAUGGUUGGAAAUCAUUCGAAGAGUGUAAAGGCAGAAGGGAGCUUGACUGCGAGACCUACAAGUCGAGCAGGGACGAAAGUCGGACUUAGUGAUCCGGUGGUUCCGCAUGGAAGGGCCAUCGCUCAACGGAUAAAAGCUACCCUGGGGAUAACAGGCUUAUCUCCCCCAAGAGUCCACAUCGACGGGGAGGUUUGGCACCUCGAUGUCGGCUCGUCGCAUCCUGGGGCUGUAGUCGGUCCCAAGGGUUGGGCUGUUCGCCCAUUAAAGCG
rnacentral:rRNA from 1 species